CGCCUUUUGUAAUAUAUACAUAAAAGGUCCUGCCUGCCCAAUGACUUGUUUUAAUGGCCGCGGUAUUAUGACCGUGCAAAGGUAGCGUAAUCAUUUGUCUUCUAAAUAAAGACCAGUAUGAAUGGCAAAACGAAAGCCUUACUGUCUCCCUAGCCCAAUCAAUGAAAUUGAUCUCCCCGUGCAGAAGCGGGGAUAUUAAUAUAAGACGAGAAGACCCUGUGGAGCUUUAAACUUUCGUUUUAGGUUGGGGCGACCAUGAGGCACAAUGCAACCCUCACGACAAAACAAGAAGGACACUUCAAACAUUGACCCAAUUUUUGAUCAACGAACCAAGUUACCCCAGGGAUAACAGCGCAAUCUACUCAAAGAGUCCAUAUCGACGAGUGGGUUUACGACCUCGAUGUUGGAUCAGGACCCCCAAACAGCGCAACAGCCGUUAAAGGUUCGUUUGUUCAACGAUUAAAGUCCU
rnacentral:rRNA from 1 species